CCUACGGGUGGCAGCAGUGAGGAAUAUUGGUCAAUGGACGCGAGCCUGAACCAGCCAAGUAGCGUGAAGGAUGACUGCCCUACGGGUUGUAAACUUCUUUUAUAAGGGAAUAAAGUUCGGCACGUGUGCCUUUUUGUAUGUACUUUAUGAAUAAGGAUCGGCUAACUCCGUGCCAGCAGCCGCGGUAAUACGGAGGAUCCGAGCGUUAUCCGGAUUUAUUGGGUUUAAAGGGAGCGUAGGUGGGUGCUUAAGUCAGUUGUGAAAGUUUGCGGCUCAACCGUAAAAUUGCAAUUGAUACUGGCAGCCUUGAGUACAGUUGAGGUAGGCGGAAUUCGUGGUGUAGCGGUGAAAUGCUUAGAUAUCACGAAGAACUCCGAUUGCGAAGGCAGCUUACUAAACUGUAACUGACACUGAUGCUCGAAAGUGUGGGUAUCAAACAGGAUUAGAUACCCCAGUAGUC
rnacentral:rRNA from 1 species